ACCAACUCUUCCUUUGAUUCAUAUCUCUAAUUGACCUGACCCAAGGUAGGUACGGGAUGAAUAUAGAUGUAGAAUUUUUAUUUAUAGGAUGGGUAUGGAUAUGGCCUACUCGACCAAUUUCGGAUCCAUUGGCAUCCCUACAAAUUUCAUGAGAUAUUUAUUUACUAGUAAUUAGGUAGUCAUAGUUGAAAUGCUAUAAUUGAAUUAUAGUUUCAAAAGC
rnacentral:lncRNA from 1 species